AUUCUCUGUCCAAGGCUGCUGUCGGGAGAUGACAGUAGCUCUUUUAAAGGAAAAGAGAGAUGACAAGAUAAUCCAUUCCCAGAAUGAAUGCCCAGAUAUCAAGCACUAUAUGUGAGAGCUGAAUAUUCAUAACCAUUUGCUUGAAGGCAAACAGUCUGCAGACUUGUUAGAGAAAACACUUGUCAGAAAAUGGUGUGAUGUGGGUUCCUUCUUGCGAAUAGGAUCAUGAGCAGGUUCAGCUCACUGCAGUGAGUAUGUUGGCAUGUUAUCCUGGCACAGAGUUGGAGGGAUAAUCUGGAAGAACAGCACAAUAACAAGUGAAGUAUGGGGAAUCCUGAGAGGGAAGAACAUUUGUGGUCUUAAUGCCAAAGGAUUGAUCAGUGAUUGUCAUCUAUACAAGAGAACAUCCACAGCUGUGAACAAACCCAGAUAUCUCCUCAAAAGAGAAGAGAAUGAGACUCCUCCUGGGGUGCACAAAAGAAGGAGGAAUGCUCAACCAUUUAACCUCAGAAGUGUCUGAUGGCACUUUCCACAAUCAGCACUGACAGCUCAAGGAUGAAAGUCAAGUGUGGAUAGGCAGAUCCAUCCAGCCAACCGUUAUCCUGAGGCAAAGUCCAAGCAGAAGGGUACCAGUAAGCACAGCGGAGCCCAGGGAAGUCCAUAGGCAAGCUUGUAUGAUGCUAUAUUUACAUCUAAAGGAAGGGAUUUGUGGCCCAGUGCUGUCUCACAGAACUGUUUUCCUUUUUUUUUUUUUCAUGAUAGUUCUUAACUUUUUUUUAUGUAAACAACUUUCAGUAAUGUCUUUCAUUGUUCACUGCAGGAUGGCCUACCUCUACUAAAACAGUCUCCCAGUGAGAGUGUAGUUCGUAUUUCAGAAGAUAAAUAGUUCCUAAAAAAUAAAGCAUUCUUUACAUGGUGUACCUUUCAUGUAUAUUUGUGUUCUAUGUACUUUAUACAUUCUGCUGUGAUUUAGUAGAAUAAAACUAUUUAUUU
rnacentral:lncRNA from 1 species